AGCCAAAGCCAUAUCACCCUGCAGUUCUUGCCUUAUUUUCCACUGAAGCUAAACAGGGUUGAGCCUGGCCACUACCCGGAUGAGAGACCUCUUUUGGAAAACUAAGGUUGCUGCUG
rnacentral:rRNA from 1 species